GCUCUUUAGCGUAUUAUGGAUUUACCACCUGAUUGGUCAAAUCUAGUUGGGCGUUGCGCCAAACUCUAAUUUAUUGAUUA
rnacentral:sRNA from 1 species